UACGGGGGGAGCAAGCGUUGUUCGGAUUUACUGGGCGUAAAGGGCGCGUAGGCGGCGCAACAAGUCACUUGUGAAAUCUCCGGGCUUAACUCGGAGCGGUCAAGUGAUACUGUCGUGCUAGAGUGCGGAAGGGGCUACUGGAAUUCUCGGUGUAGCGGUGAAAUGCGUAGAUAUCGAGAGGAACACCUGCGGCGAAGGCGGGUAGCUGGGCCGACACUGACGCUGAGGCGCGAAAGCCAGGGGAGCGAACGGG
rnacentral:rRNA from 1 species